ensembl:lncRNA
CUGGUAGGCGGGAUGAUAGUGUUGGCUGAUGGUUUGGUAGUGUUGGCUGGUGGGUUGGUAGUGUUGGCUUGCGGGUUGGUAGUGUUGGCUGGCGGGUUGGUAGUGUUGGCUGGCGGGUUGGUGGUGUUGGCUGGCGGGUUGGUAGUGUUGGCUGGCGGGUUGGUUGUGUUGGCUGGCGGGUUGGUGGUGUUGGCUGGCGCGUUGGUAGUGUAGGUUGGAGGUGCGGGUUGGUGCUGUGGGUUGGUGGUGUGAACACUGUUAAACUAAGCUGCCAGUAAUAGAUUUGGUAGAAAGGGUCUGGCUUUGACAAUGAGUACAAGAUAGCCACAGCCAGAUGAAAUUAACGAUAUCUUGAAUCAUCAUAGCGCCAGAAAACCUCUACACUCCCAC